ensembl:lncRNA
CAGAGAGCAGCAUCAAUGUCCACGUGAAGAACCUAGUUAUGUUGCCAGUGUCAACCCAACAAAAGUGUAUGGAACUGAGGUGCUUCGUCAGGAGCUCCUUCAGUUGUUGGAGGAUGGAGAAGAGGACGCAGCCAUGACUUGUGAGACGUCGUCUGAGUCAGCUGCUACUCACUGGGCGAUCAGAAAUAUGGUGUCCUCGCAAAAGUGGAAAGAGGCCAGGCCUUGUCUUAUAGACAAUAUGUUAGCUACUCUGGAUCCACAGUCACACCGUGUGUGUCAGUGUGGCAAACAAGUAGUUGUGAGGUGUCUGGACUGCCUGCCUCUUCCAUUCCUUUGUGCUGACUGUGAUAUUGCAGUUCACACACGCUUUGUCCUGCACAACAGAGAGGCAGUAACAGGAGGGUUUUUGCAGCCUUCAUCAGAGUUUCACAAGCCAAUAGUUCGGCUGUUGCCUGUGCAAAGGCCAGACCAUGUGUGUGACUGCCCAGCAGGUAACGUUGAGGUUUCACCCGGCGCAAUUGUGGCUCUUGUAACCAUAAAUGUCUUUCUAUGACAUUAAGAAGGCUGCACCAGGGAUGUCACUUAAGGCAUUUGUCAAAAUGCUGGAUGAACGAACAGCCCAUUUUGGAAGGAAUGGCCGAAUAUCAGCUGAUGCCUUCAGUAAAAGUUUCUUGGAGUGGAGUGCUGUAAAGUUUGAGGUGGACAGGAUGUGCAAGGAGCCAUGCUUUAGCUGCCCUGCCUGCACUCCAGACAUGCUUGCCGUCUCAGUUGAUGGAAACCGCAAGCUUUAUCGCUUUCAGUCUAAUGCAAGCACUUCAGAGCAGGGGAACUUUGAAGGUGUCUUCAUUGAAAAAGAUGAGGAAGUUGCUGAGUUUGUGAAAUACAUCCAGAGACACACAAAUCAUGUAAGAUACACAUAUAUAUAUUAGUGCUGUUAGCGUUAAUCUUGUUAAAAUGAUGUUAAUGCCGUAACCAUAUACACAUACGUGUGUGUGUACAUAUAUGGAUGGGUCGAUAUUUUUUUUAUUUUUCUCUUGGUGUUGUCGUAAUACUAUUUACUUUACUUUAUCUUAAUGUUUACUUAAUUUUGUCACCAUGUGUAUUUAAAAAAAACAACAUGAUUUUUAUUUUGUGUUAUCAGUGCUGUCCUGGGGAGAUCUGAGGUCUUGUGUGACUCGAGGCUAAUUCAGCUAAUUGUUAUGCAUUUGUUUUAAAAAGUUUGUCCCUGAUAGGGCUUAAUCAUGUCAUAUCUUUUAUGUUAAAAUCUUUGAGUGUAUAGGUCCCGGGGAAAGGGUUGUGCGGAUCUUCAUCUUGGACUGCAGCAAAGGAGUCGUCCAAAAAGUCCACUGGGAAGUUGGAUGAGGAGGGCAUGGAAAUAGCUGUUUGUCGCCACGGAGUCCUCUUAGCUGCAUUGAACAUGUUUCGAGGGGAGAUCUUUGCUUACCCCCUUUUUCUCCAGAGGAAGUUGGCAGCUAGCAUCCCAGGACAUAUUACGUUCCUUUGCUCCGAUGUGGCCUGUAAAUAUUUCCCCUAUUUAACCAAGGUGGCUCAGCAGUGCCCUGAGCUGAGGAACCUCUUGUCAAUGCGUCCUUUUCUCUCCGUCAUGCAUGCAAAGGCUCACACUUGGAAAUGCGAGAUCAAAUGGGGAGGUGCGUUUCAGGAUGGGGCCGGUUCAACAGUUGGAGAAGAGGUGGAACAAGUAAACAGUUUCCUGUCUAGGGCGGCCAUCACAACGAAGUACAUGUCUAAAGCAGGUGUGUGUCCGUGUCUGAGAUUCCACUCAGUCUCCUGCUCAUUAAUUCUAAUUUGUAUACUAACUGAAAUGCAGGGCGAACAGACAUGCUGACCCUCCUGGCUUUGGGGUGGAACAAAAGGAAAGUGGAACAACUGGGCCGCACUUUGAGCCAGUGAUAUCUAAAGAUCAUAAGGAUCCUUAGAGAACAAGUGGAGAGCCUGAAUGCGACCAGAAAUGAGCUGGGUGUGGAUGACGACACACUGCAGCAAUGGGUGGCCGAUGUGCAGAAAUGGGCUGAAGAAAGUGAUCAAACUGAUGGCAGCCUUGGAGCGUUGCAGGCACGAAUAGAGGAGCUUGUCGUCAUCAUCAGAGUGCGAACACAAAGUCUUUACAGACAAAAUGAUAGCAACAAGAGGCGACACAGAAUUCGCAAGGUCAUCUUAGUUGAGAAGAAACGCUUGGCGGCUGCUGUUGACGACUACAACAAGCUCGCUGAACCAACAAAGCAAAUCGUAUCCAGUGAUGCCCUCAUGCAGACCGAUAUUUGGCCCUGGCAGAGCACAAGUGAACCUGCUGCUGACCUCCGGACAAAGAGAAAGGUCUUUGAGAAGGUGAUGGCUGUGAGGCGCCUGAGAGAGGAGGAGAUGAUCCUUUGCAGGGAGAUGCGGCAUCACUGGACAGUGUUGCGAAUGCGUUCUGUGGUGUUGGGGACAAUCUCCUCAGACUGUAAGCACUUUAUUUAUUUAUUAAUUUUUUGAUGAAUCGAUUGAAAAUAAGAGCAGAUGCUAAAGUCUUACUGGAUCUUUUACCUAUAUCUAGAUUGCUAGCUAACACUGCCUUCUCCCUUUUAAAAAAAUGUUUAAUUACAGCAUCCUAAUUCCUUGUGUUUAUGAGGUGAUUUUUUUUUGUUGUUUGUUUUUUUUACUUUUCUCAUAUUUAUUUGUUUUGUUCUUUUUACAGCCUCCUUUGUUGGCAUGUCGGAGGAUGCACAGAAGGGACUCUGUAGCCUGGUUUUAAAAAAACAAAGUGAACUGAAAGCUGAAAUGCUCAAAGUAAAGGACGUGUACAAGAGAAUCCUCAGCCACCAACCACUCCUGGAAAUGGACUCGGAGGAGGAGGAGGACAUUCCAGACGAUGCCACUGAGAGUGAUUUGAGCACUUCUGAUGAAGACUGAUUGUGUCAUCAUUGAUGUUAUGUUUGGUAAAAUAAAAAGUUAAUCACAUCUCUGUUCAAUGUGAUUUUUCAACAGACAUUUUACAUUUUGAGAAGAAAAAUGGAAUUUCCUUGGUGCAGUUGUUUACCCUGAAUCAUUAUUUCCCAUCUAAUUUAAUGACUAGUGUACAUGUUCAGAUACGAUAACAUAAUUUAAUUUAUG